AGGAGACGAGUUUGUAUGGAGAAUUGGUGUGGGAAGUGAAAAAUGUGAGUGAAGAGUAAGAAAUAUUGGAAGGAGAAUAGUUUGUGUGGAGAAUUGGUGAGGAAAGUGAAUAAUGUGAGUGGAGAGUAAAAAAUAUUGGGGAUGGAGAAGAAUUGUAUGAAGAUUUUGUGUGGAAAGUAAAUAAAAUGGUUAGGUAUUUAUAGGGAAAAAAUACAUUAUUUUUUGGUUUUUUUUUUUUAAAAAUUUCAGAAUUUUUCAGAAUUUUUUUGCAAUUUUUUUAGCAAAAAAAACGAGGACCGUCGGAUUUCUGGAAAAAAAUCUAUCGGAGCGUCCCUGUCGCGACACGUGGCUUUUUACCGUUGGUUGCUGUCAGGGCUGACGUCAGCGCGCGGAGUUUAAAUUUUUUUUACCGUUUGCGCGUGUAAUUCACGCGCCAACGGUAAAAAAAUUUAAAUUCUGCGUGCGCUGACGUCAGCAUUACGUCAUCCAACUCGGCCUCAAGCCCAAGCUGAAGUUGCCCUUGGGCCUGCCAGGGCUCGUGGGACCCAGCUGCUGCCUGGGCUGUCUUCCUCGCGCUGGAGCGACUUCGGGCUCGCCUAGGGGCCCUUUCACCCGGUUUGGGUCCUGCGCUGGGCUCGCUCCAAUGAGGCAACCAAUCAAGGGACUUGUGAGCAUUCAAAAGCAAAUUCUAUCAAUGUAAAACCACAAAAGCAAAUGCAAUUCUACUCUAAUAU
rnacentral:lncRNA from 1 species